AGGGAAGAGCCCAAGAUUGAAAGCUGGCGUCUUCGGCGUCCGCAUUGUAAUCUCAAGAAGUGUUUUCCGCUUCGGACCAAGCCUAAGUCCCUUGGAAAAGGGCAUCAUAGAGGGUGAUAAUCCCGUACAUGGCUUGGAGCGCCCGAAGCUUUGUGAUACGCUUUCUAA
rnacentral:rRNA from 1 species